rnacentral:rRNA from 1 species
CGUGGGUAACCUGCCUUAUAGUGGGGGAUAGCCUUUCGAAAGGAAGAUUAAUACCGCAUAAGAUUGUAGUAUCGCAUGAUAUAGCAAUUAAAGGAGCAAUUCGCUAUAAGAUGGACCCGCGUCGCAUUAGCUGGUUGGUGAGGUAAUGGCUCACCAAGGCGACGAUGCGUAGCCGACCUGAGAGGGUGAUCGGCCACAUUGGGACUGAGACACGGCCCAGACUCCUACGGGAGGCAGCAUG